GCCUGGGUGGCUCAGUCGGUUGAGCAUCUGACUUCAGCUCGGGUCAUGAUCUCACGGUUCAUGGGUUCAAGCCUCCCAUCAGGCU
rfam:Felis catus isolate Cinnamon breed Abyssinian chromosome C2, whole genome shotgun sequence.